GGGGAAGACCAUAGCUCAGUGGUGGAGCAUCUUCUUUCCAGGCGGAAGGUUCCAGGUUCAAAUCCUAGCAUCUCCA